CCUACGGGGUGCAGCAGUGGGGAAUAUUGGACAAUGGGCGAAAGCCUGAUCCAGCCAUGCCGCGUGUGUGAAGAAGGCCUUCGGGUUGUAAAGCACUUUCAGUGGGGAAGAAAGCCUUGGGGCUAAUACCCUCGAGGAAGGACAUCACCCACAGAAGAAGCACCGGCUAACUCCGUGCCAGCAGCCGCGGUAAUACGGAGGGUGCGAGGCGUUAAUCGGAAUUACUGGGCGUAAAGCGCGCGUAGGCGGUCUGAUAAGCCGGUUGUGAAAGCCCCGGGCUCAACCUGGGAACGGCAUCCGGAACUGUCAGGCUAGAGUGCAGGAGAGGAAGGUAGAAUUCCCGGUGUAGCGGUGAAAUGCGUAGAGAUCGGGAGGAAUACCAGUGGCGAAGGCGGCCUUCUGGACUGACACUGACGCUGAGGUGCGAAAGCGUGGGUAGCAAACAGGAUUAGAUACCCCUGUAGUC
rnacentral:rRNA from 1 species